CUCGAGAUCAAACAUCCCGAAGAGGCGGUUUACAAAGUACUCAUUCCAGUCAUCGAACUAACUCCGCCUUUCUUUCGAUUUGCGUAAAUUCUUGGCAUUAUUUGAGCCAUCAAGGAGCAAUUUACAACUAUGAGACCAAACUUCCAAAAGGAAAAAACACAUCAAACAAAGAUAGCAAAGGAAGCUAUUGAUUCAUGUGUUCUUUCUAGUCCCGCCCAUAUAUUGAUUGACACGGUGACGUUUGAGUCCUUCUUGGAACUAUUUAAGUUCUAACGUCUUCUUCCACUAGUCAUCGUUCACUGGAACCUUCAAAGGCACGUCAAUUUUCACCUGCAUUGCUUUCUACAAACUUAAUCCGCUACAAUGGGUUCUUUGAAAGGCGAAACCCUAACGCUCAAGAGCAGGGGACAAACGGUCACCGUCAACUGGAAGCAGGGCUCAUUCGUUGGAUUUGGUGGAGACAGAAGUCAAAACUAUGUCCUGUGCGACUACACCACCGGCAACGGUAACAGUGUGCCAGUUUACAUUCAGGGUGGAUACGAUAUACCACAGAAGCUGAAAAUAGAUUCCAGGCUGCAGUAUGGCACACAGGAUAAUGUCCUGUUCUUUGUGUACCAUGACAAGAAUCAGACACCAUACCAAGAGCGAUUCAGGUGCAAUGCCCUACAGCAGUUCGUCUACGCAGCAAACACCGUUCUGAAAAUGGCCAAAGGGAUUGACAUCUCCUGGGCGGUGGGAAACUAUCUGGUCAACGUGUGAACGAUCAACAAACUGUGUGUUUGACCCCUGAGAACCAUCUUGGUUGGCUCAGUUAAUAUAGCUCGGUCAUGCUAGGCGAGUACUGCCCAGUGCUAAACUCAUAAGACAAGAACUUC